UUAUCCAACAAGAGAAUUUUUAUGAAGAGGAAGGAAAGAUUGUGUGGCCCAGCAGUGUCGGCAUUGUAAUUUUGAGAUCGAGUCCUGUGCCCACAUAAUUGGGUAUUGUCCUGCGGUGCAAGCCGCAAGGAUUAAAAGACAUAAUCAAUUAUGUGAGAUACUAGCUCAUCUUGGAAAGAGAAACAAUUGGAUUUUUUUCAAGAGCCAUUAAUAAGAGAUCAAAAUAAUGAGAUCUCUAAACCAGAUUUAGUGUUUUUUUAAAAAGACACAGGCUCUGGUGGUGGAUAUUACUAUAAGAUAUGAUAGUAAGCCAUCAUCACUGGCUGACGCUGCAGAGGAAAAAGUUGAAAAAAUAUCAACAUCUUACCACACAGAUUGAGGAAUUAACCAAUGUUAUUACAGAUAAAUAUAUUGUCUUUCCUCUAGGUGCUCGCAGUAAAUGAUUCUCAGACAAUUUCAAACUGUUAACUGACCUGGGACUGACAAGAGCUUGUCAGCAAAGGAUUGACAUUAAAAUGUCAAACUGGGCUUUGUUUAGUUAGGUAGGCAUUGUCCACAUGCUUGCAGAUAAAGCACGGAUGUUUGGAAACACAUGUAAUUGGGCUGUUGAUAAUAAAGGUGGCACGGGUAAUGGAAAUGGUGGGACAAAAAAUGGUAUAAUCUCGUAAUGAUUACAAUAUCAUGACGGGUUCACUGAGCUGAUAUCCAUCUCGGCAAUGACUUAUGGAUGGAUGAGCCAUCAUGUAACUUGGAAAGAAACCUGUUAGAUUUUUUUUUCACAUUCAAUAUUAGCCAAAUGCCUCGUCAUCUAAUUAGUGAUGCACAUGAAUGGAUGAACGAAAUUCCCGCUGUCCGUACCUACUAUCCAGCGAAACCACAGCGAAGGGAACGGGCUUGGUAGCAUCAGCGGUGAAAGAAGACCCUGUUGAGCUUGACUCUAGUCUGGCGCUGUGAAGAGACAUGAGAGAUGUAGAAUAAGUGGGAGGUCGCGUGCACACUUGGUGCAGCAGGGCAACCCGCCUGCUGCUGUCCCGGCCGUCGGUGAAAUACCAUUACUCUGAUCGUUUUUUCACUUACCUGGUGAGUCGGGGGGGCAAGCCCCGAGCGGGGCUCUUGCUUCUGACACCAAGUGCUCAUCAUGCGCCAGGCACGACCAGCUCCAGGGACAGCAGCAGGUGGGGAUUUUGACUGGGGCAGUACACCUGUUUAAAGCGUAACUCACGUGUCCUAAGGUGAGCUGAGGGAGGACAGAAAGCUCCCGUGGAGCAGAAGGGCAAAAGCUCGCUUGAUCUUGAUUUUCAGUACGAAUACAGACCAUGAAAGUGGGGCCUCACGAUCCUUCUGGCUUUUUGGGUUUUAAGGUGGCAGAAAAGUUACCACAGGGAUAACUGGCUUGUGGCAGCCAAGCGUUCAUAACGACAUCGCUUUUUGAUCCUUCGAUGUCUGCUCUUCCUAUCAUUGUGAAGCAGAAUUCACCAAGCAUUGCAUUGUUCACUCACUAAUAGGGAACGUGAGCUAGGUUGAGACCAUUGUGAGGUUAUUUCAUGGUAAUUCCUCAUUC
rnacentral:ncRNA from 1 species